UAGCUUAGUUGGUAAAGCGCUCGUCUAGCAAACAAGAGUCUUGGUUUCAAAUCCCAG
rnacentral:tRNA from 1 species